GGUGGUUUGUUACAUAGCUACACGGGUGCCAUGGCGGUUCGUUACAUAUGUACGUGGGUGCCGUGGUGGUUUGUCACAUAGAUUUCCUUUUCAUCAUGGACGGCAGAUAAAACAAAUUCGCAUGCUCUUCCUGCACAAAGUUGUAUCAUCUUUAAAUGUUUCCUGCCUUUCCAGUUAACAUUUCAUACGCUCUGCUCCUCCAUCCUCAAACUAUGCUGACGUCCCAAGGUUCAACUAUCUCCUGUUGCCUUCAUAGUUCAAGUGAAGAUAUAGGUGUGUCUCUUGGUUCAAGAUGCCCACAUAACCUAUGUAUGGUCAGCCUCUGUGUCCAGCUUCUGAGACAGACGCUCCCUGGGAGACCUGGAGGGAUGUGAUCAAACACAUGCAAACUACAGGGGCUGAAAGUGAGAAAAGGUGGUUUUCAGAGGAAAAUCUUCAGUGUUAACAGACAAAGAGGGAAUGAUGGAUGAACAGGCAAAACCAGCAGCUGUCCGGUGUAGUGUGACUUAUAACUUUUACCCGGGCUGAUAAAUAAAUAAUGGCUGGAGUCAUUAUGAGUGACAGAAUUCUUGUUCUGCAGACACUAUAAAUCUGGAUAAAAUAAGCAAUUCUCUGCUGAGAUGAUAGAAGAAUCUAUCUUCCCACACUUCGGCAACACAGUGAGAAAAGUGGCCUCUGAAUUCUUGAUUUUUCUGGCUUCAUCGUGAAGAGUAUUUACCGAAACCAUCAAUGAAGACGUUCAAAAACAGUUGGAAAAUGUGGGAUAGGGAAAUCAACGUACGCUGGUCCUCUUCGCCCCAGAUAUGAUCAGUGUUUCUGCUGUGAGAAGUGUCAUCUUCAUCAACCUUUUAAAAUAGGUUCUUCUUAAUAUUAUGGAUAACUGACAUUUUAAUGUUUUUUAUUAUUUAACUCACAAAAAAAUGUGAAUAUAAUCUCUAGAGGAGAGGGAAUUGGCCAAAUAUUAUACUAAGAGGUGUAGCUAACAUAUUCUGUAAGUUGGCCAUGAAUAAUAUAUGGGAAUAAAUGACAUAACUCAAAUAGAAGACUUUCUUUUGGCCCGGGAAAACAGAAGGAACUUGAGUAUUAAUCUUCUAUCUGCUGCGUCAUGAACUAUUUUUGAUACAUGAGAACGAUGGAAAAAUUGAGUUUUCUUGACUUUACCCCCAGUUCUUUUAAAAAAGACAAGUAAACCACAAAAAGCUAUUUAAGAAAAUAUUGUUGUCUCAUUGCCAGAUUAACAAUUAAAUGUUCCUACCUAUUCAUAACGUCAAAGAGAAGAUGAAUGGAAGCGAUAGUGUUGUCGGCGGC